rnacentral:lncRNA from 1 species
GUCAACAUCACCUUUAGGUGUGUAAAACUCUGCUCACACUCCAGUGACCACACAAUAAGACAUUCUUCCCCGUUAGCUUAGUCAUCGCCUGAACCAUACUCGUCAAACCCUUGACAAAGUUUCAGUAAUAACCCGCUAACCCGCUACACCGGAAAAAUUCUGGAUCUCGAUAGGCUUUGUUUGCCUCGGCCGAUCUUUGAAGGCCUUAAUCUUCUCUGGAUCCAUAGAAUCCCCCUUCUCUGAGAUAAUGUGAC